CCCUAAUAACAAUGGGCAUAUGUGAGCCCAGGAUGUAGGAACAUCAGUUUCACUCAGUGGUUGUCAAUGCUGCCUAGAGGAGGACACACAGUUGGUACUCUGGUAACAGGGAAAAGAACGUGCUAUUCUGGCAAGGAUAUGAGGGUGUUCUUGAAGCAAGUGUAUCUUCAACAUCUUGUCCAGCUGAAGGAAUAUAAACUUUGACAGCAUCUCCACCUGACAGCGUCUAGAAUUGAAGGGGCUGCUUCAGGGUUGGUACAGGUAAGAAGGGAAAAACAAAUCAUGCUUACUUCAGUUGAUUUACUUGAGGAAUGGAGAAGAAAAAGUAAAAGAGCCCAGAGUCACUUACAAAAGCAGGGACAUGAUGGCCAAGCAAGACAACACCACAGCAUAGUUCCUGCUUCCUGCAUUCUUUCCUGCAUGUGAGCAGUUCCACUCUCAGCUCAGCUAUGAGACGUGAGGCCAGUCUAGAUUUGGGUUUUUUGGCUCUUGGUGUGGUCUCUGCUCCAUUUCACAGAGAGAAUAAAUAGGAAUAUCAGCAAUUCA